AUUGAACGCUGGAGGCGUGCUUAACACAUGCAAGUCGUGCGAGAAAGGGACUUCGGUCCUGAGUAGAGCGGCGCACGGGUGAGUAACGCGUGGGUGAUCUCCCUUGGUGAUCGGGAUAACAGCGGGAAACUGCUGCUAAUACCGGAUAAUCUUCAUGUUUAACUUCAUGGGGUAAAGGUGGCCUCUGCUUGCAAGCUACCACAUCAAGAUGAGCCCGCGUCUCAUUAGCUAGUUGGUAGGGUAAUGGCCUACCAAGGCUACGAUGAGUAGCUGGUCUGAGAGGAUGACCAGCCACACUGGGACUGGAACACGGCCCAGACUCCUACGGGAGGCAGCAGUGGGGAAUAUUGCGCAAUGGGCGAAAGCCUGACGCAGCGACGCCUCGUGAGGGAUGAAGGUCUUCGGAUCGUAAACCUCUGUCAAGAGGGAAGAAACCCUUGGAUUCGAAUAGGGUCCUUGGCUGACGGUACCUCAAAAGGAAGCACCGGCUAACUCCGUGCCAGCAGCCGCGGUAAUACGGAGGGUGCAAGCGUUAAUCGGAAUCACUGGGCGUAAAGCGCUCGUAGCGU
rnacentral:rRNA from 1 species